AGCGCGUGGAGGUAGGUCUCGAUUGUAACCUGUCAUGCGAAACAAAAGUGAUAGUAUCGCAAGAAAAAGACGGCUACUCUGUGCCAGCAGCCGCGGUAAUACAAGGCUCAAGCGUGUUCGGAUUCAUUGGGCGUAAAGGGUGCGUAGGCGGCGUGGUAAGUUGAGUGUGAAAUCCUAGGGCUUAACCUUAGAACUGCACUCAAUACUGCCAUGCUCGAGGAAUGUAGAGGAGAGUGGAAUUCACGGUGUAGCAGUGAAAUGCGUAGAUAUCGUGAGGAAGACCCAGUUGCGAAGGACGACUCUCUGGGACAUUUCCUGACGCUGAGGCACGAAGGCCAGAGGCGAGCAAACGGGAUUUAGAUACCCCGGUAGUCCUGGCAGUAAACGGUGCACGUUUGGUGUGGGCGGGUUCAGACCCCGUCCGUGCCGGAGCUAACGCGUUAAACGUGCCGACUGGGAAGUACGGUCGCAAGAUUAAAACUCAAAGAAAUUGACGGGGGCCCGAACAAGCGGUGGAGUAUGUGGCUUAAUUC
rnacentral:rRNA from 1 species